rnacentral:rRNA from 1 species
GAUCCUGGCUCAGGAUGAACGCUGGCGGCGUGCUUAACACAUGCAAGUCGAACGAUUGAAGCUGGAGCUUGCUCCGGCCGAUUUAGUGGCAAACGGGUGAGUAACGCGUGGGUAACCUGCCUCAUACAGGGGGGAUAGCAGUUGGAAACGACUGGUAAAACCGCAUAAGCGCACGGUAUCGCAUGAUACAGUGUGAAAAUACUCCGGUGGUAUGAGAUGGACCCGCGUCUGAUUAG